rnacentral:rRNA from 1 species
CCCUAGUAACUGCGAGUGAAGCGGGAAAAGCUCAAAUUUAAAAUCUGGCGGUCUUUGGCCGUCCGAGUUGUAGUCUGGAGAAGUGCUUUCCGCGCUGGACCGUGUACAAGUCUCUUGGAACAGAGCGUCAUAGAGGGUGAGAAUCCCGUCUUUGACACGGACUNACCAGUGCUUUGUGAUGCGCUCUCAAAGAGUCGAGUUGUUUGGGAAUGCAGCUCAAAAUGGGUGGUAAAUUCCAUCUAAAGCUAAAUAUUGGCGAGAGACCGAUAGCGAACAAGUACCGUGAGGGAAAGAUGAAAAGCACUUUGGAAAGAGAGUUAAACAGUACGUGAAAUUGCUGAAAGGGAAACGCUUGAAGUCAGUCGCGUUGGCCAGGACUCAGCCUUGCUUUUUUGCUUGGUGCAUUUUCUGGUUGACGGGCCAGCAUCGAUUUUGACCACUGGAAAAAGGCUAGGGGAAUGUGGCACCUUCGGGUGUGUUAUAGCCCUUAGUCACAUACAGUGGUUGGGAUCGAGGACCGCAGCACGCCUUUAUGGCCGGGGUUCGCCCACGUUCGUGCUUAGGAUGCUGGCGUAAUGGCUUUAAACGACCCGUCUUGAAACACGGACCAAGGAGUCUAACAUGCCUGCGAGUGUUUGGGUGGAAAACCCGAGCGCGUAAUGAAAGUGAAAGUUGAGAUCCCUGUCGUGGGGAGCAUCGACGCCCGGACCUGAACUUCGGUGAUGGAUCUGCGGUAGAGCAUGUAUGUUGGGACCCGAAAGAUGGUGAACUAUGCCCNGAAAUAGGGUGAAGUCCAGAGGAAACUCUGGUGGAGGCUCGUAGCGAUUCUGACGUGCAAAUCGAUCGUCAAAUUUGGGUAUAGGGGCGAAA